GGCGCUAUAGUGUAGUGGUUAUCACUCAGGAUUCUGAUAUACAUUCUGUCUUCCUGAAACCCAGGUUCGAACCCUGGUAGCGCCU
rfam:Agaricus bisporus var. burnettii JB137-S8 unplaced genomic scaffold AGABI1scaffold_1, whole genome shotgun sequence.